rnacentral:tRNA from 1 species
GGAGAGUUGGCUGAGCGGUUGAAAGCACCGGUCUUGAAAACCGGCAGACGUUUAUAGCGUCUCGAGGGUUCGAAUCCCUCACUCUCCGCCA